rnacentral:rRNA from 1 species
UACGAAGGGGGCUAGCGUUGUUCGGAUUUACUGGGCGUAAAGGGCGCGUAGGCGGGCGAUUAAGUCAGGGGUGAAAUCCCACAGCUCAACUGUGGAACUGCCUUUGAUACUGAUUGUCUUGAGUCCGGGAGAGGUGAGUGGAACUGCGAGUGUAGAGGUGAAAUUCGUAGAUAUUCGCAAGAACACCAGUGGCGAAGGCGGCUCACUGGCCCGGAACUGACGCUGAGGCGGCGAAAAGCGUGGGGAGCAAACAGG